rnacentral:rRNA from 1 species
UGUAUGUGGCUUUAAUNCGAUGCAACGCGAAGAACCUUACCUGGCCUGUUGACAUGCACGGAAUCCUUUAGAGAUAGAGGAGUGCCUUCGGGAACCUGUGACACAGGUGCUGCAUGGUCUGUCGUCAGCUCGUGUCGUGAGAUGCUUGGGUUAAGUCCCGCAAUCUGAGCGCAACCCUUGUCCUUAGUUGCCAGCACGUAAUGNGUGUGGAACUCUAAGGAGACCGCCGGUGACAAACCGGAGGAAGUGGGUGAUGACGUCAAGUCAUCAUGGCCACUUGUACGGCCAGGGUCUUACACACGUUACGUACAAUGUGUGGGACAGAGGGCUGCAAGCGCGCGAGCGUGAGCCAAUCCCAGAAACCCCAUCUCAGUCCGGNAUUUGGAGUUCUGCAAACUCGACUCCCAUGAAGUCGGAAUCGCUAGUAAUCUGCAGAUCAGCAUUUGCCUGCGGUGAAUACGUUCCCGGGCCUUGUACACACCGCCCGUCACACCAUGGGAGUUUGUUGCACCAGAAGCAGGUAGCUUAACCUUCGGGGGGGCGCUUGCCACGGUGUGCCGAUGACUGGGGUGAAGUCGUAACAAGGUAACCGU